UAUGCUGGGAUUAAUCAGGUGGUCACAUGAGAGGAGAGGGCAGGACAAAAGUUAAAAGUUUAAUACAAACAUGAAACCUAAGAAGAGAUCAGCACACAAGAGAAGUAACGACACAGAGGGAAACCUGAGGGUUUCCCUCUUCCUUGUGGCCUGAAUCGCCUACUCAGCAGCUGUUCUCAUAUCACAAAGAAAAACAUUUUCAACAUCAGUCCAGCCGAACCUGGGUGGUGCUCAGCCAGGCCGGGCACGGGCUCCGCAGGGUGCACGCAAACAUUAUUUUUGGAGAAGAUGAUCUCGCCAUCCAGUCCUGAGCGCAACGACGAGCCCCCUGCCCCGGGGUUAAACGUCAGGAGGUCCGAGGCCUUGGAAGAGGCACGCCGCAGGAGCCGACCCAGAGACAUCUCCUCAGGCACCGGGACACUAGGUCCAUCCUCUGAGUGUGGAGUAGAAGGGGAGUUUUAGGAAGAGGAGGAGGGGAGGACAGGCCAGGGUAGGUGCGGCAUGGGAGUGAGGAAGGGAAGAUGACAUGAGAGGAAAAAAGAAAACAUGACACAGUCAGGUAGACAUUUCAAGGACAAAGCUUGGCACUGUAAAGCUGCACAGAUCGUCGCCUUCACUUCACCUCCUCUCUCUCACCUGUGUGCUUGUAUACACUGCAGUGUCCUUACUGCAGCGCUCAACCCCAGGAUCCCCUCCCCUCUGUACAUUUUACAUUUCCUUGUUCCACCUUUUGCUGCACACACCUGCACCACUACUCACACAUUCACAGACAGGGUCUGUGGAUACUGUACCAGAGUGUAAACGUGUCCCUCCUUUUGUAAACAACACACACACACACACACACACACACACACACACACACACACACACACACACACACACACACACACACACACACACACACACACACACACACACACACACACACACACACACACACACACACACACACACACACACACACACACAAAGACGUGUGCAAAGCAAACACACUUCACUCCAUCAGUGAGAAAUUCCAUGCAGUUAUCAGUGGCCAACAGAUGUCACCAACAUCGGUGCUUAACUGGGACCAGCACGUCGUCACACCACCAGUGUUUCAAAUGUCUGCUUCUUUGUUAGAUGAGACAUACUCCAUGUCGAGCAAAAAGUCAAGCAGCUCUUUUUCUUCUUUGAAAAGGCUUGGACGGGAUCUUAUGCUCAGGAUCAAAGAAGAUUAAAAGCAAACUAAUCUUUUUUUCUUUACUUUUUUUUUUGUUUGUUUCUGUCCGAUCUCCUCAAAUACUCAUUGAUUCAUUCUCUUUCUCUUGUUUUGACGCGUGAGCCCGUAUCUUUGGACAUACUUCAUGUGUGUAACCUUGUUCUCUCGUUGGCUGAACACUCGGGUCUCAUACUCCCCAUUCAGUCUGAGGAAUGUUCACUCCUUUUUCCUCAGGGGGCAUGUUUGCCUCCGCCUGAUUAGGCAGGCACCCCACUUCCUGAUGCCAGGCCCCAGACAGGAAGGCUGCUGGCACGAAGUCCAGGCAGGACCCAGGAGGAGGGGACUUUACUGUUGGUCAUCAUUCGGCUUACUUUUAAAAGAGUGUAACUGCGGGUGUUUUGGGGUGAAACUGAUACAAUUCAUUGAUUACAUCUUGUAAAAAGUCGCUGGUGUGUCUUGCAGAUGCCACUAACCUUGGCCAACAACUAAUGAUUAUAUUCAUCGUGAUUCUUAUUCAUCAAAAUAUCAAUAAAAGUCUUUAAAAAGUGUCCACCACCACCCAAGGGGAUGUUUUCACAAAUCUUAAUCGAAAUUCGAUCAAAGCAGUCACUGUUAAGAUUGUCUGUUUGAAAAAUAAUCUAUUCUUAUUAAUUUUAUAUGUUUUCAAUUUUUUUUUGGGGGGGGGGGGGGGUAAUAAGUCUGAAAGAUCUUAGCAUCUGUUCGCUGAAACCCAGUUCUUUUUCUCCACAAGCCACAACAUUACACUGAGCUAUUGAACAUUAGCAGCCACCGGGCUAUUUGCAUGCUAACUGCUUCAACAGCACUUGUAAAUAACCCAUGAAGCACUGACACAGCGACUCUGACUCUGCAGUCCUGCAAGAGAUACACACACUGAAAAAACAUGCCACCUAAGCAUCAUGUGCAUAAUGACAACAACUCUUUAAAGUAUAGACUCGAAACAGCAAUAGCACACUCACAUGCUGUGCAACUAUCCAGAGGUUAUUUUGGUCUGCGUGUGAUUACAGGGUGAGCCGGGUCAGGUCAGUUUGAUAUGGCUCGUUCACGCGGUUCACUUCAGGACCGACUCCUCUCACUCCAUCUUCUCUGCUGUCAACACCACAGCGUGCUCGCACGCCGCCUCCCCUCUCUGACCUUUCACUCUUUUAUUAAACGUCUCACAUCCUUAUAGGACUGCAACACCAGCUCUCAACUCUGACCAACACCAGUGACUCACACAUUUUUCACAGACUUUUAACAGACGGCCUGCCAAAAUGAAAGACUUUUGAUAAGGGCCUGAAACCAACACCAGCGGAAAUUUAGCGGCAAGUGUAGAAGCCACAAGCUUCCAGGGUCUCAGCUUCUCACCUCUGGGCUACAUUAAUUUAGCUGUCAGGUGACAUUUGAAUAGAUGAGCCAGAACUCACCCCCCUAUGUAUCUGCACUGUACACCAACAUGCCUGGGGCGGCUUGAAAAGGGAACUGCCACAAAGGAGCCUGAAAAACAAGGUUCUCGUGCACAAGGAGACUUCAUGGGUGACUCAGCCGUGCUCGUUUAAAGUUGUGCUAAAUCUACAGAUACUUUUUGGGUGAUUUUCAUAAGGAAACAAAGAAAAUUGUUCUACACUCAUAAUAAAACUUGGAAACUAGCAUCUUAUUGUUGAAUUUGCUGGAUGGAUACAUCGACUGAUCUUAGCUUAUCUUAGAUAUAUCUGUGUCAGAAUAUACAGUUUUUAUAUAGUAGCUUUGAGCACUUCAUAUUUUUUGAUUAUUAUCCAUAUCAAUUCAGUUUGUGGUGAAGUUGCGUUCUGCUCAAGCUGAAGCUGAACAUAAUUGCUGGCAUGAAUUUGUAUGAAGGAGCAGUUGGAAAUAUAAACUUUGGUCUGAGCAGAAUAUAGAAUCAAAUACGGCUCAUUAAUAUUUUGAGUUAGUGAAAUGACGUUCACUAAUCAGGUAAAACAAAACAAAACAGUCAUGUAUUCAACUUAAUUCUCUGCAAUCAAAUCACACACAUUGGGUUAUUCUACAUGAUCUCCUCGUGAUUACUAUUGUAAUAUUUUUUUCACUGAGAAGGAGGCAAGUUUUCAUCUUUUAGGGAAAUGCAUGUUCUUUAACAAUGGUAGCUAAUAGUAGCUCAGCAAUACUGCGCUGCCUGCACACAUUAAAUGUAUUGGACCAGUGUUAUUUUAAGGUUUAUAAUCUCAUUAAUUCUGUAUGUUCUACAAGCAAAGUAUUGUUGAGAUAUCGUAUUCCCCUCAACAAUUCUUUUGCAAGACACGCUGCUAUACUGUAUUUCGCUAUAUCUAUUUGAUCUUGAGUAUAAUUUGAUGAAUAUUCUAAGGGACGUUUGAUGAUUUUGUUAGUUAAUAUUAAGUUGAUUUGAAUAGAUGGUGCUGCUGUUUGCUUUUUGGAAAUGUAUGAGUUUCAGUACAAGUAUAAUGGGAGGACAAAAAACACAUAUUCCUCUUUUCCAGCACGAACAAAAAGCUGUACUUCCCUGCUUCAAGCACGUCAUGGAUCUCAGACUUCAAGUCCAACUGCCCGUUUCAAUUUUAAUGAGAAACAUUUUCGCUUGCGAACCAAAAGAGAACCAGCUUCAGUGGUCCUGCAGCCGAUGUUUUGUCCACGACGGAGCCCUGAUCUCAACACCAUGGUGGAGUCAGUCUGCGAUCACAUGAAGGGGCAAUAGACACUGGGAUAAGUCUCAACCCAGAGAAAAAAACUGUGGCCAGUUCUCCAGGAUGCUGGGAACAACUGAACACCUUGAAAACACUGUGUGCAUGUGAACCGAGGACUGGUGCAAACGUGGCUUACUGCACGCUGCAUGAAGUUGAUCAAUAAAUAAAAUCUAUCCAUGGCA